rnacentral:rRNA from 1 species
AUUGAACGCUGGCGGCAGGCCUUACACAUGCAAGUCGAACGGGUGGCGGACGGGUGAGUAAUGUCUGGGAACCUUCCUGAUGGAGGGGUAUAACUACUGGAAACUGAAGCUACUACCGCCUACAACCGCAUGUGCCCAGAUUGGAUUAGCUAGUAGUUGGGGUAAAGGCUCACCUAGGCCACGAUCCCUAGCUGGUCUGCGAGGAUGACCAGCCACACGGGAACUGAGACACGGUCCAGACUCCUACGGGAGGCAGCAGUGGGGAAUAUUGCACAAUGGGCGAAAGCCUGAUGCAGCCAUGCCGCGGGUAUGAAGAAGGCCUUCGGGUUGUAAAGUACUUUCAGCGGGGAGGCGUUACCCGCAGAAGAAGCACCGGCUAACUCCGUGCCAGCAGCCGCGGUAAUAC